GUAGUCUCGCACAGAUGCAUAUCAAUAAGCGGAGGAAAAGAAACUAACAAGGAUUCCCUUAGUAACGGCGAGUGAAGCGGGAAGAGCUCAAAUUUGAAAUCUUCAAGGUUUUACCUUGACGAAUUGUAGUUUAAAGAAGUGUUUUCUGCUGAAGUUUUGGUAAAAGUUCUUUGGAAUAGGACAUCAUAGAGGGUGAGAAUCCCGUAUUUGACCAUUAUUUUCAGCUUUGUGAUACACUUUCAAAGAGUCCGGAUUGUUUGGGAAUGCAGUCCAAAAUGGGUGGUAAAUUUCAUCUAAAGCUAAAUAUUGGCGAGAGACCGGUAGCGAACAAGUACCGUGAGGGAAAGAUGAAAAGAACUUUGAAAAGAGAGUUAAACAGUACGUGAAAUUGUCAAAAGGGAAGCGUUUGACACCAGUGUUGUUUUCUCGAAAAUCAAUUAAAAAUGGCUCGAUUUUGUAUUGUUGAGACCUUAAAAGCUCACUGUACAUUUUCCGUGUCUUUUUUAAUGCACUUUUCGUUUAACAAGUCAACAUCAGUUUCUUUUGUUGUAAAAGGGUCAUUGGAAGGUGGCUUUCUUUUCGGAGAAAGUGUUUAUAGCCUUUGGCCUCUGCAAUCGGAGAGACUGAGGUCUGCAGCGUAGACUCUUCGGGGUUAGAUACAUUUGUGCUAAGUUAUAGCUCUUUAUAGACAACUUGUUGACUAUAAUUAGUCUUGUAGCUUACUCGCUUAUGCUAUUUUACCUACGCUUAGGAUGUUGAGUCGUAGAGCACGCAG
rnacentral:rRNA from 1 species